rnacentral:rRNA from 1 species
GCUCAACCGUGGAAUUGCACUGGAAACUGCGCGACUUGAGUACCGGAGAGGUGAAGGGAAUUCUCGGUGUAAGGGUGAAAUCUGUAGAUAUCGAGAGGAACACCAGUGGCGAAGGCGCUUCACUGGCCGGUUACUGACACUGAGCUGCGAAAGCAAGGGGAGCAAACAGGAUUAGAUACCCUGGUAGUCCUUGCCGUAAACGAUGUGGAUUAGGUGUUGGGGGUGUCGAUCCCUCCAGCGCCGACGCUAACGCAUUAAAUCCACCACCUGGGGAGUACGGCCGCAAGGCUGAAACUCAAAGAAAUUGACGGGGACCCGCACAAGCGGUGGAGCAUGUGGUUUAAUUCGAGGCUACGCGAAGAACCUUACCCAGGCUUGAAAAGCAGUUGACAGCGCAUGAAAGUGCGUCUUCCCGCAAGGGACAAUUGUACAGGUGCUGCAUGGCUGUCGUCAGCUCGUGCUGUGAAGUGUUGGGUUAAGUCCCGCAACGAGCGCAACCUUUGCCCUUAGUUGCCAUCAGGUAAUGCUGGGAACUCUAAGGGGACUGCCGGCGAAUAGCUGGAGGAAGGGGGAGAUGACGUCAAGUCAGUAUGGCCCUUAUGCCUGGGGCUACACACGUGCUACAAUGGCCGAGACAAAGGGACGCAAACCCGCGAGGGGGAGCAAAUCCCAAAAAAACGGCCUCAGUUCAGAUUGGAGGCUGCAAUUCGCCUCCAUGAAGUCGGAAUCGCUAGUAACGGUAGAUCAGCUACGCUACCGUGAAUACGUUCCCGGGUCUUGUACACACCGCCCGUCAAGCCACCUGAGUCGAGAGCACCCGAAGUCGGUCACCUAACCCGCAAGGGAGGGAGCCGCCGAAGGUGAGAUCGGUAAGGAGGGCUAAGUCGUAACAAGGUAAC